GGCUUCAUAGCACAGUUGGUUAGAGCGUCGCACCGGUAUCAAACAAAGGUCAUGGGUUCAAACUCCAUUGAAGUCC
rnacentral:tRNA from 1 species